rnacentral:ribozyme from 1 species
UUCCUCUUCCGGGAAUUCAGGUAGUCGCAUGAUAGGUACUUUGACAACAGAAGAAAGGCAGCAACGAAUAGAAAGAUAUCGGCAGAAGCGAAGGCGCAGGGAUUUUAGGAGAAUUCGGUAUCAGAGUCGAAGAAGGAACGCACAAAUAAGGGCUCGACAUGGCAACGGUCGAUUCGUCAAG